ACCGGAUAGGUCACGAUUCCUGGAAUGGUUUGUGGCUGAAACUUCAGGGGCUUUUGGAUGGGUCUGCGGCUGAUUAGGUUGUUGCCGGUGUAACGUACCGUCAAGCCAGUUAUCAGUACGGGUUGUGGGAGCAAGAGCCCGGAGAUGGAUUCUGAGACACGAAUCCAGGCCCUACGGGGCGCAGCAGGCGCGAAAACUUUACAAUGCAGGCAACUGCGAUAGGGGAACAUCGAGUGAUACUCAUAAUGGGUGUCUGUCCCAUCGUCUAAAAAACGAUGGUUAGCAAGGGCCGGGCAAGACCGGUGCCAGCCGCCGCGGUAAUACCGGCGGCUCGAGUGGUGGCCGAUAUUAUUGAGUCUAAAGGGUCCGUAGCCGGCUUGGCAAGUCUCUUGGGAAAUCUGGCGGCUUAACCGUCAGGCGUUCGGGAGAUACUACUUUGCUUGGGACUGGGAGAGGCGUGAGGUACUCAGGGGGUAGGAGUGAAAUCCUGUAAUCCUUUGGGGACCACCGGUGGCGAAGGCGUCACGCCAGAACAGGUCCGACGGUGAGGGACGAAAGCUAGGGGCACGAACCGGAUUAGAUACCCGGGUAGUCCUAGCCGUAAACGAUGCUCGCUAGGUGUCACGGCAGUCGUGAACUGCCGUGGUGCCGUAGGGAAGCCGUGAAGCGAGCCAC
rnacentral:rRNA from 1 species